AUGACCACAUUAGGUUGAAAUACUGGUUCUCGUAUGAUCCCCGAAAUUAAGCAACCUCCAGCCUGGUCUGUACCUAGGUAGGUGACCGCUUGGGAAUACCAAAUGCUGUAAG